rnacentral:rRNA from 1 species
AACGAACGCUGGCGGCAUGCCUAACACAUGCAAGUCGAACGAGACCUUCGGGCCUAGUGGCGCACGGGUGCGUAACGCGUGGGAACCUGCCCUUAGGUUCGGAAUAACUCCCCGAAAGGGGUGCUAAUACCGGAUAAUGUCUUCGGACCAAAGAUUUAUCGCCUUUGGAUGGGCCCGCGUUGGAUUAGCUAGUUGGUAGGGUAAAAGCCUACCAAGGCGACGAUCCAUAGCUGGUCUGAGAGGAUGAUCAGCCACACUGGGACUGAGACGCGGCCCAGACUCCUACGGGAGGCAGCAGUGGGGAAUAUUGGACAAUGGGCGAAAGCCUGAUCCGGCAAUGCCGCGUGAGUGAUGAAGGCCUUAGGGUUGUAAAGCUCUUUUACCCGGGAUGAUAAUGACAGUACCGGGAGAAUAAGCUCCGGCUAACUCCGUG